rnacentral:rRNA from 1 species
UGGCGGACGGGUGAGUAAUGUCUGGGAAACUGCCUGAUGGAGGGGGAUAACUACUGGAAACGGUAGCUAAUACCGCAUAACGUCGCGAGACCAAAGAGGGGGACCUUCGGGCCUCUUGCCAUCGGAUGUGCCCAGAUGGGAUUAGCUUGUUGGUGGGGUAACGGCUCACCAAGGCGACGAUCCCUAGCUGGUCUGAGAGGAUGACCAGCCACACUGGAACUGAGACACGGUCCAGACUCCUACGGGAGGCAGCAUG